AGAGUCAAGAGCCCGAGUCAAUAGGAAACCAGUUCCAAGGGCCUCAGCUAAGCCACUCAGAGAAAAAAAGACCUGAGCUUUAUUCGGAGAGGAAAAAAAAAAAAAUGUGUGGUCCCUGGACUGGAAGCUUCAGAAUCAUCUGGAAAUGUGCUAGAAAUGCAGGCUUCCAGGCCUCCCCUACCACUCCUUUACAAGUACACAAGGUCACUGGAUAGAUGGUCCCUUUGGAUCAUGUGCUCAUCACUGGUCCAGUCAGCUGUGAUCAGAGGAGCAAGACUGUGAGAUAAGGCUUGAAACCUAAGGAAUUUCAAAGAGGGGGCCAUGAUGGGCAUUCAGCGGCGUCUCAGGAGGGGGCAGAGUAACUAGCAGGUGCUUUGCAUGCUGGUCUGGUGUGUCUGGAAAAGGCAUCCCGCUAAAACAUUUGUCAGGAAACUUCUCAUCAGCAUUUCCAGCAUGCAGGAGCAACCGAGAGAGCCACUUAGAUACCAUCUGAUUAUAAUGUGUUUCUCAGAGAAAUAAAUAGCCCAAAUGGAAGCACA